rnacentral:rRNA from 1 species
GAGGGUGAUCGGCCACAUUGGAACUGAGACACGGUCCAAACUCCUACGGGAGGCAGCAGUGGGGAAUAUUGCACCAUGGGCGAAAGCCUGAUGCAGCAACGCCGCGUGAGGGAUGAAGGCCUUCGGGUCGUAAAACUCUGUCCUCAAGGAAGAUAAUGACGGUACUGGAGACGAAGCCACCGGCACCGUCCGAGCCAGCAGCAGCG